rfam:Asian citrus Psyllid, Diaphorina citri - Florida Strain, whole genome shotgun sequence.
GCCUAGUUAGCUUAGUUGGUAGUGCGUCUGCCUGGUAAGCGCUAGGCCGCGGGUUCGAUUCCCGCUCGGGGCG